rnacentral:lncRNA from 10 species
UGCUGGGAUUACAGGUACGAGGCACUGAGCCCGGCCAGUGGAACCACUUUCUAUAGUGUGCCCAUACUGGGCCUUGGACAUCUUUCCUAGUUUGGUACCUGCUGUUUACUUAACAGCAUGCUACUGUGUAUCUGUGCCAUCUUGUCACACUUGUCUUUGUAAUGUUGCCUAACUCUGGCUCUCCAGAUUUGUACAUUACGACUUUAUUGUAAAUCAGAGAAGGUCAAUAAAUUUACUUCUUUCAAAUUUC